rnacentral:rRNA from 1 species
AGUUUGAUCCUGGCUCAGAUUGAACGCUGGCGGAAUGCUUUACACAUGCAAGUCGAACGGUAGAGGGGGCAACCCCUUGAGAGUGGCGAACGGGUGAGUAAUAUAUCGGAACGUGCCCAGUCGUGGGGGAUAACGUAGCGAAAGUUACGCUAAUACCGCAUACGAUCUACGGAUGAAAGCGGGGGAUCGCAAGACCUCGCGCGAUUGGAGCGGCCGAUAUCAGAUUAGGUAGUUGGUGGGGUAAAGGCUCACCAAGCCAACGAUCUGUAGCUGGUCUGAGAGGACGACCAGCCACACUGGAACUGAGACACGGUCCAGACUCCUACGGGAGGCAGCAGUGGGGAAUUUUGGACAAUGGACGCAAGCCUGAUCCAGCCAUGCCGCGUGCAGGAUGACGGUCCUAUGGAUUGUAAACUGCUUUUGUACAGGAAGAAACCCUUUCACGUGUGGAAGAUUGACGGUACUGUAAGAAUAAGGAUCGGCUAACUCCGUG